rnacentral:rRNA from 1 species
UACGAGGGGGGCAAGCGUUGUUCGGAAUUAUUGGGCGUAAAGGGCGCGUAGGCGGUUUGACAAGUCUGAUGUGAAAUCUAUGGGCUCAACCCAUAGCCUGCAUUAGAAACUGUCGGGCUUGAGUAUGGGAGAGGUGAGUGGAAUUUCCGGUGUAGCGGUGAAAUGCGUAGAGAUCGGAAAGAACACCAACGGCGAAAGCACUCUGCUGGGCCGACACUGACACUGAGAGACGAAAGCUAGGGGAGCGAAUGGG